GGUUCAUUGCAGAGAAAUCAAUUCUUGUAUCCUGAUAAAUUCCAGUUAGAAGCUGUCCUAGAAAAUAUUUUCCUGACCCCAUGCACCAAACAGAAGAUUCUGGGUAAAAUAGAAACAAACUACUGCUCUUCCCUGGAUCAUUACACAAGCUUUGAGCUCUGUGACCUUCAAAAUGUAAUUGUUUUAUCUGGAAAACACCAGCUCAACAAAGAUAACAUCAUUUUGCAGUCAGAGGGCAGAUUCCACCUUGGUGAUCACAGGACAGAUGGGGGGUUGAUUGGAGUAUCCAUAAAGAAUCAGAGCACUGCUGAUGUGAAGAACUAUUCUAUGGAAAUUGAUUUAAGAGCCUUUGAAGACAUUUGGCUAGGCCUGGCAGGAACUGCUACUUCCUCAUCUGUCCAGAGCCAAAUCCUGGUGGAGGGGAAUAUUGAUCAGAAAGAGAAAGUAAAAGUGGCAGCUUCAAAAGGAAAGGAGUGCAUUCAGUACUACCUGGGGUAUCUGAAAGGGGAUUUGGAAGAAGGAAUGGAAGUCAGCGCUUGUUCUGAUGGGCAGGAGAUGGCUGCCAUUAACACCUAUCUCAGCAUCAAUGGAGAAAGGAAGGAAAACACGGGACAAGUGACUCUAGCAGCUGCUAAUGGAAGCUUGAGUUUUCUGGCUCAGGGAUGCGGGGAUCUAGUUCUUAAGGCUGAGUACAAGCUUAAUGAAAUUGGGAGUCUUUUGAAAGCCAAACUGAUGGAAAAGAUAAAGAAGUUUGAUGGAUACAUGUGGAGAUUCAGGAGAUCAGUGCAGCAAGUUGGUUUCCUGUCUGAAGCAGCUGGCUGGCCUUCCACAGCCUUGCAGAAGGCGGCAGGAUUCCUGCUCAGCGGGGGCAGAGCUGUCGCCCAGGCGUGGAAGCAAAGCGGAAUCGGGCAGAUCCUGAGGAGCAAGGUCCCGCUUUACCUGGAUAAAGUUCAAGGCAUUGUCCAGCAAAUGCAGAACGAAUUACAAAGUAAGUAAAACUGAGCAAAGCGAGGAGAAUAAGGACAAUGUCAGUGCAGGGCAAAACAAACUUGGCU
rnacentral:lncRNA from 1 species